CUGGCGGCGUGCUUAACACAUGCAAGUCGCACGAGAACUCUUCUGCUUGCAGAAGAUAGUAAAGUGGCGCACGGGUGAGUAACGCGUGGGUAAUCUACCUUCGAAUCGGGGGUAACUCCGCGAAAGCGGUGCUAAUACCGGAUAAUAUCUUAUAGACCUUGGUCUUUAAGAUCAAAGGUGGCCUCUACAUGUAAGCUACUGUUUGAAGAUGAGCCCGCGUACCAUUAGCUUGUUGGUAGGGUAAAGGCCUACCAAGGCUACGAUGGUUAGCUGGUCUGAGAGGAUGAUCAGCCACACUGGAACUGACACACGGUCCAGACUCCUACGGGAGGCAGCAGUGAGGAAUUUUGCGCAAUGGGGGAAACCCUGACGCAGCAACGCCGCGUGAGUGAUGAAGGCUUUCGGGUCGUAAAACUCUGUCAAGUGGGAAGAACAUGUUUGAUGUUAAUACCAUCUUACACUGACGGUACCACUGAAGGAAGCACCGGCUAACUCCGUGCCAGCAGCCGCGGUAAUACGGGGGGUGCAAGCGUUAUUCGGAAUUAUUGGGCGUAAAGGGCGCGCAGGCGGCCUCUUAAGUCAGAUGUGAAAGCCCGGGGCUUAACCCCGGAAGUGCAUUUGAAACUAAGGGGCUUGAGUAUGGGAGA
rnacentral:rRNA from 1 species